GUGGGGAAUAUUGGGCAAUGGGCGAAAGCCUGACCCAGCGACGCCGCGUGGGGGAAGAAGUCCCUCGGGAUGUAAACCCUUGUUGUACGGGACGAAGGAAGUGACGGUACCGUACGAGGAAGCCCCGGCAAACUACGUGCCAGCAGCCGCGGUAAUACGUAGGGGGCGAGCGUUGUCCGGAAUCACUGGGCGUAAAGCGCACGUAGGCGGGCUGUUAAGUCGGCCGUGAAAGGCACUGGCUCAACCGGUGUUUGUCGGUCGAUACUGGCAGUCUGGAGUAUGGGAGAGGGAACUGGAAUUCCCGGUGUAGCGGUGAAAUGCGUAGAUUUCGGGAGGAACACCAGUGGCGAAGGCGGGUUCCUGGCCCAUGACUGACGCUGAGGUGCGAAAGCCGGGGGAGCGAACGGGAUUAGAAACCCUUGUAGUCC
rnacentral:rRNA from 1 species